rnacentral:rRNA from 1 species
AACGAACGCUGGCGGCAUGCCUAACACAUGCAAGUCGAACGAGACCUUCGGGUCUAGUGGCGCACGGGUGCGUAACGCGUGGGAAUCUGCCCUUGGGUUCGGAAUAACAGUUGGAAACGACUGCUAAUACCGGAUGAUGACGUAAGUCCAAAGAUUUAUCGCCCAAGGAUGAGCCCGCGUAGGAUUAGCUAGUUGGUGAGGUAAAGGCUCACCAAGGCGACGAUCCUUAGCUGGUCUGAGAGGAUGAUCAGCCACACUGGGACUGAGACACGGCCCAGACUCCGACGGGAGGCAGCAGUGGGGAAUAUUGGACAAUGGGCGAAAGCCUGAUCCAGCAAUGCCGCGGGAGUGAUGAAGGCCUUAGGGUUGUAAAGCUCUUUUACCCGGGAUGAUAAUGACAGUACCGGGAGAAUAAGCUCCGGCGAACUCCGU